UACGUAGGGGGCUAGCGUUGUCCGGAAUCAUUGGGCGUAAAGCGCGCGUAGGCGGUCCGGUAAGUCCGCUGUGAAAGUCGGGGGCUCAACCCUCGAAUGCCGGUGGAUACUGUCGGGCUAGAGUGCGGAAGAGGCGAGUGGAAUUCCUGGUGUAGCGGUGAAAUGCGCAGAUAUCAGGAGGAACACCUAUUGCGAAGGCAGCUCGCUGGGACGUUACUGACGCUGAGACGCGAAAGCGUGGGGAGCAAACAGG
rnacentral:rRNA from 1 species